CAGCAGCCGCGGGAAUACGGAGGGUGCAAGCGUUAAUCGGAAUUACUGGGCGUAAAGCGCACGCAGGCGGUCUGACAAGUCAGAUGUGAAAUCCCCGGGCUUAACCUGGGAACUGCAUUUGAAACUGUCAGGCUGGAGUCUUGUAGAGGGGGGUGGAAUUCCAGGUGUAGCGGUGAAAUGCGUAGAGAUCUGGAGGAAUACCGGUGGCGAAGGCGGCCCCCUGGACAAAGACUGACGCUCAGGUGCGAAAGCGUGGGGAGCAAACAGGAUUAGAUACCCCGGUAGUCCCUGUCUCUUAUAA
rnacentral:rRNA from 1 species